GUGCAGGUCAGCUUGUCUUUGGAGAAAGUCAGAGGAGGUCAGUCUCUGCUACAAUUUAUAAUCAGAUGAAGAGCUCUUAUUACGAGACCACCAGACUGCUGCAAAGCACACAACCAAGACGCCUGCCACUGCUCAUUUUCGUGCGAUCAUCGAAUAGUCAAUGGCAGGGUGAUUGUUAUGCUGUUCACACAACAGUCUUGCCGGAUGCAGACCCCCAAAGUUUGCCUGUGAUUGGCUAGCAGGGGAAAAGAGAGAGAGAGACCUGCAUCUGCAGUCUAAUCACGUCACCUUACUCUGCGCAGCAACACGACAAGGGCUGACGUCAAAUGCAGCUCCUUCACUGAAGAUCCCUAUGCUUUGCUGCUCCUGGUCUUCUGGCCCCUCCUCCUCUCUGCUCAUGCUGCUCAGCCCACUCAAACCUGCUGUCUGUCCUGGCUCCCUGUUGGUGGAAUGACCUUCCCAUCGAGGUCUGAACCACCAACUCCCAGACCACCUUCAAGCACAGACUGAAGGCCCACCUCUUCAGGCUGCACCUCUCCCCUGCUUCCCUGCCCACUGUGUAACUGGGUAAUGGUCUUGACCAACCCAGGCUGUGUGCUGUCUAGCCUGGUCAUGAUGACUUAGUGUUAGCCGUUGGGGUUUUAUUUUUCUCUAUUUAGUUGUACUUUGUCAGCUCAUUUGUAUAGUUGGUUUGUUUUCCUUGGCUGUUUGCUGAUUUUUUGUUACUUCAGCAGAAUAUUACACUAAGUGCUUUUCUGUCACCUGUUCGAUUGGCACUAGAACUUCCUUGUCUAGUGGUUCAGCACUUCUUGUACCUGACUUUUGCACUUGUUGUAUGUCAUUCUGGACAAGAGCAUCUGCUAAAUGCCUGUAAUGUAAUGUAAUAUUAUGCAUUGCACUCCUGCUGCUGUUUAUUUUUAUUAAGAGUACCAAUAAUUCUGGAGGGCAAUGUCCAUAUAGAGUACCAGUCAAAAGUUUGGACAUGCCUACUCAUUCAUAAGUUUUUACUAUAUUUUGACGAUUUUCUACAUCGUAGAACAAUACUCCAUCCAUCAUCCAUAACCGCUUAUCCUGUACAGGGUCGCGGGCAAACUGGAGCCUAUCCCAGCUGACUAUGGGCAACACCCUGGACUAGUUGCCAGAUCACUGCAGGGCCAACACAUAGAGACAAACAGUCAAUUUAGAGCUACUUUGGACUGUGGGGGUAACCCACAUGGGGAGAAUAUGCAAACUCCACAUAGAAAGGUCCUCGCCGGCCACUGGGCUCAAACCCAGAAUCUUCUUGCUGUGAGGUGACAGUGCUAAACACUACACCACUGUGCUGCCCAGAACAAUACUGAAGACAUCAAACCUAUGAAAUCUCAUCUCAUCUCAUUAUCUUUAGCCACUUUAUCCUGUUCCACAGGGUCGCAGGCAAGCUGGAGCCUCUCCCAGCUGACUACAGGCGAAAGGCGGGGUACACCCUGGACAAGUCGCCAGGUCAUCACAGGGCUGACACAUAGACACAGACAACCAUUCACACCCACAUUCACACCUACAGUCAAUUUAGAGUCACCAGUUAACCUAACCUGCAUGUCUUUGGACUGUGGGGGAAACCGGAGCACCCGGAGGAAACCCACACGGACACGGGGAGAACAUGCAAACUCCACACAGAAAGGCCCUCGCCAGCCACAGGGCUCGAACCCAGACCUUCUUGCUGUGAGGCAACAGCGCUAACCACUACACCACCGUGCCGCCCUACCUAUGAAAUCAUAUGAAAGAAUCUUGAACAUAUAUGGAAUUAUGUGGUAAACAAAAAAAGUGUAAAAGUCACCAUUUACCUUGAUGACGCUUUGCACAUUACUGGCAUUAUCUUAACCAGCUUCAUGACGUCGUCACCUGGAAUGCUUUUCAAUUAACAGGUGCCUCGUCAAA